rnacentral:piRNA from 1 species
UGCUGUUUCUGGAUCCAGCCAUGUGUGCGCUA